rnacentral:tRNA from 1 species
GUCAGGGUGGCCGAGUGGUCCAAGGCGCCAGACUCAAGCUGCGCUUCCCUGCACUGGGGAUUCUGGUCUCCCCUGGAGGCGCGGGUUCGAAUCCCGCUCCUGACA